rnacentral:rRNA from 1 species
GAUGAACGCUGGCGGCGUGCUUAACACAUGCAAGUCGAACGGAAAGGCUCCUGCUUGCAGGGGUACUCGAGUGGCGAACGGGUGAGUAACACGUGGGUGAUCUGCCCUGCACUUCGGGAUAAGCCUGGGAAACUGGGUCUAAUACCGGAUAGGACCACAUUUUGGAUGGUGGGGGGGAAAGUUUUUCGGUGGGGGAUGAGCUCGCGGCCUAUCAGCUUGUUGGUGGGGUAAUGGCCUACCAAGGCGUCGACGGGUAGCCGGCCUGAGAGGGUGUACGGCCACAUUGGGACUGAGAUACGGCCCAGACUCCUACGGGAGGCAGCAGUGGGGAAUAUUGCACAAUGGGCGCAAGCCUGAUGCAGCGACGCCGCGUGGGGGAUGACGGCCUUCGGGUUGUAAACUCCUUUCGCUAGGGACGAAGCGCAAGUGACGGUACCUGGAGAAGAAGCACCGGCUAACUACGUG